rnacentral:rRNA from 1 species
UUGAACGCUGGCGGCAUGCCUUACACAUGCAAGUCGAACGGCAGCACGGGUGCUUGCACCUGGUGGCGAGUGGCGAACGGGUGAGUAAUACAUCGGAACAUGUCCUGUAGUGGGGGAUAGCCCGGCGAAAGCCGGAUUAAUACCGCAUACGAUCUACGGAUGAAAGCGGGGGACCUUCGGGCCUCGCGCUAUAGGGUUGGCCGAUGGCUGAUUAGCUAGUUGGUGGGGUAAAGGCCUACCAAGGCGACGAUCAGUAGCUGGUCUGAGAGGACGACCAGCCACACUGGGACUGAGACACGGCCCAGACUCCUACGGGAGGCAGCAGUGGGGAAUUUUGGACAAUGGGCGAAAGCCUGAUCCAGCAAUGCCGCGUGUGUGAAGAAGGCCUUCGGGUUGUAAAGCACUUUUGUCCGGAAAGAAAUCCUUGGCUCUAAUACAGUCGGGGGAUGACGGUACCGGAAGAAUAAGCACCGGCUAACUACGUG